GUCCAGGGUAGCCUAGUGGUCAUGGCAUCUGCCCAGUAAGCGGAAGGUCGUGGGUUCGAUUCCUAUCCCUUGACA
rnacentral:tRNA from 1 species